UGGCGUACGGGUGAGUAACACGUGGGGUAAUCUACCUCUUAGUGGGGAAUAACUUUGGGAAACCGAAGCUAAUACCGCAUAAGCUCGAGAGAGGAAAGCAGCAAUGCGCUGAGAGAGGAGCCCGCGGCCGAUUAGCUAGUUGGCAGGGUAAAAGCCUACCAAGGCAUAGAUCGGUAGCCGGCCUGAGAGGGCACACGGCCACACUGGCACUGAAACACGGCCCAG
rnacentral:rRNA from 1 species